GGCGGGGCCGGGCCGCUGGGGACCCCCCGGCUGGCCUGGCGCGCGUAUAUCCGCCGGGACUCCGCUCGCUCGCCGGCACCUCUGGGACCUGCGGAGGAACUGCUCUCGCUCGGCCCCAGGUCGCAUCUUUGUGGCCGGAGGCGCACACGUGUGGCGGUCCCUGCGCGGUGAAGGGUCUUCGGCCGGCGCUCUGCUUUCGGGAAGCAUCUUGCCGGGUCCUGCCUCAGUUGAGAGAUGGCCUCUGCAGGGGCUGAAACAAAGAAACUUGGAAAUGACAAUGACUUCGUACGGCUGAGCAAUCCCCACUUAGCAACGAUGAAGGAAGACGUUCUGUACCAUUUCAGCCUCAGCACGGGCACCCACGAUUUCCCGGCUAUGUUUGGAGAUGUGAAGUUUGUGUGCGUCGGGGGAAGCCCUUCCCGGAUGAAAGCCUUCAUCCAGUACGUGGCCGUGGAGCUGGGCCUUGACGUCCCAGGCGCAGACUAUCCCAACAUCUGUGUGGGCACCGACCGCUAUGCCAUGUUUAAAGUGGGCCCGGUGCUGUCUGUCAGCCACGGGAUGGGCAUUCCCUCCAUUGCCAUCAUGCUGCACGAGCUCAUCAAGCUGCUGUACCACGCGCGGUGCUCCGGCGUCACCAUCAUCCGCAUCGGCACCUCUGGCGGGAUAGGUCAGUGUGCAGAGCACCGAGUGGAUGCGGGCGGGGAUGGGGCAGCGUGGGGCCCCAGAGCUUCUGCCUGGGCUGUGUUUGAGCAGAGCUCAGCAGCAGCAGGCAUGAAAAGAAGUGAUACAUUGUUUUGUUUGCUCAGCUACUGCUCCCAAACCACACCCCAGAAACAGGCUAGAAGAGGCACCACCAGGCCACGUGUCCUCGAAAACGCAUCCUUUAGGGAUUACACACGGGUGCCAUCUUAUUUGCUUGAUUCUCUCUUUUUAGUCUUUCUAAUCCCUCUUUUCUCUGCCUUUCUCCUCUACUUUGCUCACUCCUCCUCCCUCUUCCUGCAAGGAUUUGAAGCAGCGUAUGAGAAAACCUACAGGAAAACCAAAGGGGGAAAAGAGGUGGCAUACAAAAUUAAGAUAAGUGUCCUUAAGUUGCCUAAAAGUCCCCGGUGCUCAACAUAUAUUUUUAACAUCACAGAGACAGCAAAGAAAGCAGAGGGUGCAGUGAGAGGCGAAACGCUUAAAAUUGUGUUGCUUUUUAAGCCAAAGUCUUUGAGGCAAACUCGUUUUAUGUAAGUUGUCCUACCCUCUAACAUCCCAGUUCUGGGCUGGACUUUUGUCUAAAAACUGGCUUCUAGCAAUUCUCACUCCUGCCAAGGAGCUGGGAGCUGCUGGAGGGAGGCUUGCUAUUGUCGGCCCGGCCUCUGUGCAUUUGUUGCUGAUGGUCCAGGCCUGACCUCCCCUGCAUCUAUAGGGUAAUUCUAAAAUUCAGGUUUACUCACUAUGAAAGCGGAUUGCUGAGGACCCUGAAUCUUCUGGCUACAUGAUCUCAUUUUUCCUUUCACUGUGUAGGCAGAUUGACAUGUAAAAUUGGCGUUUGUGGAUUGCAAUGUGAAGUUUAAAGGGGUUCUUUGGAGAACAUCCCAAUGGCCAUGAACUCCUUGGUCCGAUACAUUUAAUCUGUGAUGCCAUCGACCGAUGGACUCCCAGCUGUGCACAUGGCACCAGCAUUGGCCAGGACCUCUAGCAAAUCCUUCUUGAGUUCUUGCUUCGGAGAGAUUUUAAAACCAAUACUCAAGGAGUUUCCGCUGAUUCUGUUCAGUGGAUUAUGAACCUGACAUAGCAUCCAUAAGGAUGUGAAGUUUGAUCCCUGGCCUCAAUCUGUGGUUUAAGAAUCCGGCCUUGCCAUGGCUGUGGCAUAGGCUGCAGCUGCGGCUCUGAUUCAGCCCCUGGCUCUGGGAAUUUCCAUAUGCCGCAGGUGUAGCCGUAAAAAGAAAAAAAGUACAAUAAAUAAAUAAAUAGUAAAUUAGACAAUCAGAGGGAAUUCUGAAAAGGAUAGGGUGGGUUUCAAGUUGCCCAAAAUUGCCCUCAUAAGAAUGGGCCCAACAACUAGAGAGACAGACCCCAAACCCUGACAGUAUUGGUGGCAGAGUGUGCCAUGGCAUCCCCACAAACCCCAAAAUAGGAACAGAGGGCGGGUGGCUUAUGGGCCCCUGCCCGGGAGGAAGCACAGGGCGACUCCAGGGUUUCUGACGGACUUGAGAUUGUGCAGCGGCCCACAGGUGUCCCGGAGAAGGGUGGGGCCUGUGUGAGGAGCAGCAGCUGCCAGAAGCGGGUCUGCAGCCUCCACUUUGAGGUCUGAAGGGGCUUGAAAAUUCUAGGCCCCAUGAAUUCCUGAAAGCCAUCGUCUGAGCUUUCAUCCAGGCCCUAACUCCUUGUGGGGAGAAAGCCGAAGAAGGUCUGUGUUGACCAGAGAAGGAAAGCAGCUGGGGAGAGAAAGUCCAGAUAAACACGCAGGCGGCCCAGCAGAGCCAGAGCCUGACAACUGGCUCCAAUCUGCUAACAUUUCACGAAAGCAGCUGGUGUGGGGCCUUUGGAACAGAUCAUCUCCAGGCUUCUCCUUCCUUCCUAAAGGUUUAGAAAAACUGAUAUCCCGUUAAAGUAAGUGUGGCGAGGCCGUGGGUCAAACCCCACGCAUGUAGUGGAAGACCAGAGACCGAGGAGCAGAACACUGUCCCUACAAGCAAGAAACCCCAGGAAGGCACAGGAAGCAGAACCUGGAGGGAAAUGAGGCCAUCAGGAGCUGGGCACUGCUGGAGCCGGGUCUUGUCUACUUCUGUAUUUACCUGGCACCUUAAAUAAUCAAAAGGUACAAACCAGGGACCAGUCAGAGUUCUCACUGUGGCGCAGCAGGAUCCAUGGCAUCUCUACAGCAGCCAGGGCACGGGUUCUAUCCCCAGCCUGGCACUGGCACUGCCACAGCUGUGGUGUAGGUCCAGCGGCAGUUCUGAUCUGAUCCCUGGCCUGGGAAUGCCAUAUGCUUUGGGGUGGCCAGAAAUGAAAAAAUAAAAACAGAACCAGCUGCACACAUUCUGGAAAGGGAGCACUGGACACUGAAAACAGCAGGAACUAGGAAACCACAAGCACUUGGUGGGCAUGGGACGCCCUGGCAAUGUCACCUUUUGCACUUUGCCAUGUUUUCUGUAUUGCCUGUGCACGUCUUACCUUUAUCAUCUGAAAAAACAAACAAACAAAAAACCCAAAAUCGGAUGCAGAAAGAGAUCCUUGCCUGUUUCUUUCUAGAAGAAAUCCCCCAGUGUUUCCGGGCACGGACAGGUCCCUUUCCUUCUUGCCCGAGCAUUCCUGUGCCCCUUGGCAGCCUGGACACCUGCUUGUUCCUUUCAGGUCUGGAGCCUGGCUCUGUGGUCAUCACCCGGCAGGCGGUGGACCCCUGCUUCAAGCCAGAGUUCGAGCAGGUGGUCCUCGGGAAGCGGGUGGUCCGCAGCACCCACCUGGAUGAGCCGCUGAUGGAGGAGCUGGCGCAGUGCUCCGCGGACCUGGGCGAGUUCCCCACGGUGGUGGGCAACACCAUGUGCACCCUGGACUUCUACGAAGGGCAAGGCCGCCUGGACGGCGCUCUCUGCUCCUACGCGGAGAAGGAUAAGCGGGAGUACCUGAACGCGGCCCACGCAGCUGGCGUGCGCAACAUCGAGAUGGAAUCGUCUGUCUUCGCCGCCAUGUGCAACGCCUGUGGCCUCCGAGCGGCGGUGGUGUGUGUCACCCUCCUCAACCGCCUGGAAGGCGACCAGAUCAGCAGCCCCCACGAGGUGCUGGUCGAGUACCAGCAGCGGCCCCAGCGGCUGGUGGGCCACUUCAUCAAGAAGCGCCUCUCAGCAGCCUGAGGUCCCUCGUCUCUGGACAUGAGUGGUGUUAUUGCUGCAAAUAAAAUCAUCACCACAA